ACACACCGCCCGUCACACCAUGAGAGUUGGGAAUACCCGAAGCCUGUGAGCUAACUUUUAGAGGCAGCAGUCGAAGGUGGAAUCAAUGAUUGGGGUGAAGUCGUAACAAGGUAUC
rnacentral:rRNA from 1 species